rnacentral:rRNA from 1 species
CCCCUAGAUGUUCUGGGCCGCACGCGCGCUACACUGAACAGUUCAACAAGUCUUAACCUUGGCCGAUAGGUCUGGGUAAUCUUUGAACGCUGUUCGUGAUUGGGAUAGACCUUUGCAAUUAUGGGUCUUCAACGAGGAAUUCCUAGUAAACGCAAGUCAUCAACUUGCAUUGAUUACGUCCCUGCCCUUUGUACACACCGCCCGUCGCACCUACCGAUUGAAUGGUCCGGUGAAACCUCCGGAUUGGCGCGUGCCCUCGGGCGCCGCCGAGAAGUUGGUUAAACCUUACCAUUUAGAGGAAGGUGAAGUCGUAACA